ACUAACGCUUGGCUGCUAUCAGACUGGCUGGUAAGUGAUGAUGCAGCCUAAGAUGGAGCGCACUUACCUAGAAGAAGCCUAUUAACUCUUGACUUGAAGGUGCCCAAAUUAAAAU